ACGUAAUAGAUACCCAGGUAGUCCACGCCGUAAACGGUGGGUACUAGGUGUGGGUUUCCUUCCUUGGGAUCCGUGCCGUAGCUAAACGCAUUAAAGUACCCCGCCUGGGGAGUACGGCCGCAAGGCUAAAACUCAAAGGAAUUGACGGGGCCGCACAAGCGGCGGAGCAUGUGGAUUAAUUCGAUGCAACGCGAAGAACCUUACCUGGGUUUGACAUGCACAGGACGCCGGCAGAGAUGUCGGUUCCCUUGUGGCCUGUGUGCAGGUGGUGCAUGGCUGUCGUCAGCUCGUGUCGUGAGAUGUUGGGUUAAGUCCCGCAACGAGCGCAACCCUUGUCUCAUGUUGCCAGCACGUGAUGGUGGGGACUCGUGAGAGACUGCCGGGGUCAACUCGGAGGAAGGUGGGGAUGACGUCAAGUCAUCAUGCCCCUUAUGUCCAGGGCUUCACACAUGCUACAAUGGCCGG
rnacentral:rRNA from 1 species